UUACUGCUGCAUCAGGCAUUGUUGUGUAUAUAUGUUAACUCACUUAAUCCUCACCUUAUGCAGCCCAGGGAGAUGCUGUCACUACCCCCACCGUAUAGCUGAAGAAACUAAAGAGCAGAGAGGGAGACUCUGUCAGGGAUCCAGCAGGAGCAGUGUAGCCUCAGAGGGCCUCGUUGACACUUGUGAGUGGGACGAGGUACAGAGGCAGGGUCAGGGUCACAAGAACCAAUAAGAACCUCAAGCUUGAGGACUAACAGCAGGCAGCCAGCCGAAGAGAGCAGUGUUACUAGGAUGCAGUGAAAGCCCAGGAAAAGGCGUGAAGGCGCCGACCUUCCCCGCCCCCACUCCACCCUCCCUGCCCUCUGAUUUCCUGUCUGUGCCUCCUGCUUGCCAAAGCCAAAGAUAAACCUGGCACUGAAGGCUGAGGCCUCAGGCGCAGAGAUGCUGAGUCCCUGAGGAGGCCACCCCCAGCUGCUGCCCACUUAGGACUCAGAGGUGUUCUGUGGAAAUUCAGAAUCCAUGGCAGAAUCCGUGGCAGGAAUCUGAGGCGGAAGAGGAUGUUGAAUUCAAUGACCUUUAAAAAACAGCCUUCAGCACCUCUCCACCACUGCCACCCCCUCCUCCCCAAUUCUGCAGGAAAAAUCAUAAGGAAACCGAGGUUCGGGAAAGAAAAAUGACCACCCCAAAGCCACAUAACUAGAGAGUAGCCAAGCUGGGGCUGGAAUCCAGGUUUGACCAUUCUUUAACCACUGCACCAAAAGGCCUCCCACCA